CAUGGUACUUUACAUGGUUUUAAUAGUUGCCACAUAUAGAUGUAAAGUCUGUAUGCAGUAUGCGUGCAUGUAUAUGCCUACAGAUGAAGACGGAUUUUUGUGGCAGGAAGUUAUUGCUGCAGAUCUCUUUACCACAUAGCUGAGAAGCUCAGCGUGUUGGCAGUUGCUGUGGGCACUGGCGGGCACAGGUGUCACAACAGUGUUCCUUACAAUGUGGUACAAUGGUAAAUAUGGAGUUUUUCCUCUGUGGUACAGUAUGACAGAUUAUUCAGAACAGUUUAUUAUGCUUCUCUGUUGUUCUUUAUAGUUAAUGCUGCCAACACCCCCCUUUGCAAUAUAGACCACUGCAAAGGAAGGGUAAAACCAGUAACAGAAUAAGCCAAUCAGAUCAGGUUAACACCACAGGAACACCUCCCUGAGGGCAGCAGUGCCAGGACAAGGAGGGAACUCUGAAGGGUGUCUCAUGUUUGGAGCAUCAGAAAACUUGUAAUGGUCAAGAUGUUUUCUGAAUUUACAGCGUUCAUCCUUCAAAUGGAUUUUCUUUCGAGUGUUGUCCUUAUUCUACUGGAAAAACUGGUGGAGAGAGAGUUCUACUGUCCUUGCAACUCAUAUAACCAAUUAUUUUUUGGGGGGCUUCUGAUUGGUUCAUGUUUAGUAAUUUUCUCUAUGACUUUGCAAAUCCAAACACGUCGUUACAAGGAACUGCUGAAACAGGAAACAGGAGAAAAAGCAAAAGACACAGAAAGAGAAGACGCUGGGGUAAUUGAGAACAGUGAAGCACAAGAAAUUAUACAAUUCAGUCGGAUAGAGCACAAAAGGGAGAAAAAGGAAAAAGUUUUGUACAGAUGUAUUGUUGUCUUAUCAGGGUUGAUUUCCUUAAUCACUUGGAUCACAUUGUGGUACUCUGAUGGACACUACUACGUCUGUCAGCAGAGCAUGUGGGAUGGUGUUUGGACCAAGCCCAACCCUUUAAUACGAAUGUCUCACAAGUGGUGCGAACCAAAUAACCAAACUCUUCGUGAACAACAAAGAAUUUUCUCCACCGAUAUGUUCAUUUAUUCUCAGGUAAUAUCCAUAUGGAUGUUUAUUUCCCUUGGUUUUGUUAUAUGUAUGUAUUCCGGGUUGCUGAUUUAUGUGGAUUGGAACUAUUAAGAGAAGAAGACCAAUUAAACAAGAAACAGAGGAAAAAGCAAUGAAAAAAGCAGAGGAAACUAUGCCCUGUGCUGCAAAGGAUGCACUGUAAAAUAUAUCUGUAGAAAUGUGAUGUUUUUGAAGGAAUUUCCCCUGUAUAUGUUUACAUUUACUUUACAUGUUGCAUUGUGGGAGCAAGGGUCCACACGAUCACAGAUUUUGAAACAAGAAAAGUUGAUAGCUCUACGGUGCUCAUUGAUACAGAUCCUGAGUUGCCUGUGCGUGCACCGCGUAUACUGUAAACUGGAAAGGAUUUGGGCUGCCUUUACAAAAAACUGUACAGUGUCGCAUUGGUGGAUUGUCUACUGUUGAGUGAGUGCUACAGUACCUAUGAUUCUGUGUGUCAGUGAGAUAAUGUGUAAUCAGUUAGUGAAGUUGUAUUUGCGUUUUCCAUGUUGCGUAUUUAUUAGUGUGUAUUGUGUAUCUUUAAUUCUACCUUAUGUGAUUAUCCUCGUGUUGAUGUGUGUGCUUAACCUUAUUGUGUGUUACGUGUGCGGUUGAGACUACCCUUGUGUUGCCCUGUGCCAAUGUCUGUGUAUGGCUUGAUCUCUGUUCCAAUACAUGGUCAUGCUUACCAUAAGUGGUA